rnacentral:rRNA from 1 species
CCACAAGACUCUCGGCAACGGAUAUCUUGGCUCUCACAUCGAUGAAGAACGUAGCAAAAUGCGAUACCUGGUGUGAAUUGCAGAAUCCCGUGAACCAUCGAGUUUUUGAACGCAAGUUGCGCCUGAGGCCACUUGGUCGAGGGCACGUCUGCCUGGGCGUCACAC